UACGGAGGGUGCGAGCGUUGUCCGGAAUCACUGGGCGUAAAGGGCGCGUAGGUGGCGGUCCAAGUCAACGGUGAAAGCUCGGGGCUCAACCCCGAGUCGGCCGUCGAUACUGGGUUGCUUGAGCACUGUAGAGGCAGAUGGAAUUCCGGGUGUAGCGGUGGAAUGCGUAGAGAUCCGGAAGAACACCGGUGGCGAAGGCGGUCUGCUGGGCAGUAGCUGACACUGAGGAGCGAAAGCGUGGGGAGCGAACAGG
rnacentral:rRNA from 1 species